rnacentral:rRNA from 1 species
GAUGAACGCUGGCGGCGUGCCUAAUACAUGCAAGUCGAGCGAACAGACGAGGAGCUUGCUCCUCUGACGUUAGCGGCGGACGGGUGAGUAACACGUGGAUAACCUACCUAUAAGACUGGGAUAACUUCGGGAAGCCGGAGCUAAUACCGGAUAAUAUAUUGAACCGCAUGGUUCAAUAGUGAAAGACGGUUUUGCUGUCACUUAUAGAUGGAUCCGCGCCGCAUUAGCUAGUUGGUAAGGUAACGGCUUACCAAGGCGACGAUGCGUAGCCGACCUGAGAGGGUGAUCGGCCACAUUGGAACUGAGACACGGUCCAGACGCCUACGGGAGGCAGCAGUAGGGAAUCUUCCGCAAUGGGCGAAAGCCUGACGGAGCAACGCCGCGUGAGUGAUGAAGGUCUUCGGAUCGUAAAACUCUGUUAUUAGGGAAGAACAAAUGUGUAAGUAACUAUGCACGUCUUGACGGUACCUAAUCAGAAAGCCACGGCUAACUACGUG